rnacentral:rRNA from 1 species
CCUACGGGAGACAGCAGUGAGGAAUAUUGGUCAAUGGGCGCGAGCCUGAACCAGCCAAGUCGCGUGAGGGAGGCCGGCCCUACGGGUUGUAAACCUCUUUUGCCGGGGAGCAACGGGCGUCACGUGUGGCGCCACUGAGAGUACCCGGAGAAAAAGCAUCGGCUAACUCCGUGCCAGCAGCCGCGGUAAUACGGAGGAUGCGAUCGGUAUCCGGAUGUAUUGGGUUUAAAGGGUUCGUAGGCGGAUCGUUAAGUCAGUGGUCAAAUUGAGGGGCGUAACCCCUUCCCGCCAUUGAAACUGGCGCUAUUGAGUGGAAGAGAAGUAUGCGGAAUGCGUGGUGUAGCGGUGAAAUGCAUAGAUAUCACGCAGAACCCCGAUUGCGAAGGCAGCAUGCCGGCUUCCGACUGACGCUGAAGCACGAAAGCGUGGGGAUCGAACAGGAUUAGAUACCCGUGUAGUC